CAACACCAAGCCCAGACUGAAAUUCUUCACUUCACUGAGGGAUCAAAACAUCACAUCUAUCUCUAAAGGGCUGAUUUACUGACAUAAUGAGUGCAAUGGAGAUUAGAUUCAAAGAAUUCCUGGAUCACAUUUUUCUCCCUUGGUUGCAACAUAUACAGUCUAGAAGUAUGCUUAAUUUGGAGUCUGUACGCAUCACAUGAUGUGGUAUUGACAAUCAGAAACAGUGAAUCAAAAUGGUAAACACUGAACUCUUGGACUGUCUUCUGAAAUCACCAGUUGUUGUCUUGGUGGAUUUUUGUUGCUGACUUGUCCUCUAUAAAUUGGGUAAAGGCCUUCAACCUGCUUCAAAUUUGUACCAAGCAGUUAAGAUGGUAACAAAGAUGCUAUUGAGAUGGUAGUGAAUUGCUGUCAGUACAUCACGUAUCAUACUCAAGUCAAAGCUUGGCUGUUUCUAGUCUUCAGCUGCACAGCCACUCGAUGAUCAAAGCAAAAUGUU